AACGAACGCUGGCGGCAGGCUUAACACAUGCAAGUCGAGCGCCCCGCAAGGGGAGCGGCAGACGGGUGAGUAACGCGUGGGAAUCUACCCAUCUCUACGGAAUAACGCAUGGAAACGUGUGCUAAUACCGUAUACGUCCUUCGGGAGAAAGAUUUAUCGGAGAUGGAUGAGCCCGCGUUGGAUUAGCUAGUUGGUAGGGUAAAGGCCUACCAAGGCGACGAUCCAUAGCUGGUCUGAGAGGAUGAUCAGCCACACUGGGACUGAGACACGGCCCAGACUCCUACGGGGGGCAGCAGUGGGGAAUAUUGGACAAUGGGCGCAAGCCUGAUCCAGCCAUGCCGCGUGAGUGAUGAAGGCCCUAGGGUUGUAAAGCUCUUUCACCGGUGAAGAUAAUGACGGUAACCGGAGAAGAAGCCCCGGCUAACUUCGUGCCAGCCGCCGCCGUAAAAC
rnacentral:rRNA from 1 species